UGAAAUGUUUAAAAAAUGUUGCUUGUCCCGCUCUGCUUUUCCCUGUUUUCCUGCGCGCGUGUGAAGUGUGCCGCAGUCCAUGUUUCCUGCUUUCUCACUUCCUUUCUCCAUACUCUCUCUGUUCAUUUAUUUUAAUUUUAUUAUUUUUCAAUCUAAUAAUGGUGAAUACUCAAUAAAAAAUACCGGCCCUUCCUUCCCUUAAUUGUAUUAGUUUGUUGGUUGUCAAAUCAGUGUAAAAUCAGAACUUAAUUUAUAUGAUGAACACAACCCUUCUCCCUUGAUUGUACCUUGACGUGGUUGCCAAAUGGGUGUAAAAUCUAGAACUUAAUUUAUACGAUUGAACACAACCUUCCUCUAGCCUAUUUGGAAGAAAAAAUCAAAACAGGACAUAUUGAUCAGAAAAGAAAUCACAAGAUAAAAAUUGGAGAUUUUCAUUUCUUGCUUUUUCUGUUUCUAACAAAAAAUACAAUAGAAGGAGAAUAUUACCACAAAGAAUAACAAAUAGAAAAAAGAUCUAUAUCAUAUUCUUUCCCAUCAACCCAUAACCUUAACCAUUGUAACAACAAUCAAUAUCGGACGAGAGAACCUAGUACAUCCGCACACCACCGCGCACUGGAAAAUAGUAUUUUCUCAUUGGGUGAAAUUUUGUUUCGUUACAUGUGAAUGAGCUUUGGUUGAAGCCAUCUUGAUGCUGGAUCUUAGUGUUUUGUUGUGAGUAAUUUCUGAUAUGUGAAAUAUGCUUCUUGCUGAUUGUGCCUUUUUAAAAUUUGUUUAUUUUGCUAGUCUGAUGCACUAUCCGUUCUCUAUAGCUUAAUAUGUAUUCUCUGUCUUCA
rnacentral:lncRNA from 1 species